UCUCAAUGUCCAUCCUUCCAAUCUUCCUUAGAUUUCCCAGCCUCUCUUGCAGUAAAUGUGGUCAUACAGGGGACUGGAAUGCAGACAGGAGCCAGGCCAGCUGUCACAGUGCCCUAGGGAUGAAGGAGUAACAAGAUGGAAGGAAUCCAUGGAACUACCCACUUAUCUUUAGAGAGAGAGUGACAUAUGUGAUUCCAGAGCUACAAAAGUUUGGAAGGUUUCGUUACUUUAGUUUAGCCUAUAUCAAAAUAUGUGUGUGUGUAUCUUUAUAUAAUAACUAUGAUUAUUUCCUCUUCUUAUUAUGUCUGCCUAUAUUUUAACUCUGUAAUUUAACUCCUAUAUUACUACUCAUCUCCUGCGCAAGAUUAAAGCACUGUCCCUCAGCAUGA